rnacentral:rRNA from 2 species
GGACUACCCGGGUAUCUAAUCCUGUUUGAUCCCCACGCUUUCGCGCCUCAGUGUCAGUAUUGGUCCAGGUAGUCGUCUUCACCACUGGCGUUCCUUCCGAUCUCUACGCAUUUCACCGCUACACCGGAAAUUCCACUACCCUCUACCAUACUCUAGUUAAGCAGUUUAAGAUGCACUUCCCAGGUUAAGCCCAGGGCUUUCACAUCUUACUUGCUUUACCACCUACGCGCCCUUUACGCCCAGUAAAUCCGAUUAACGCUCGCACCCUCUGUAUUACCGCGGCUGCUGGCAC